CGACUCUCGGCAACGGAUAUCUCGGCUCUCGCAUCGAUGAAGAACGCAGCAAAAUGCGAUACUUGGUGUGAAUUGCAGAAUCCCGUGAACCAUCGAGUUUUUGAACGCAAGUUGCGCCCGAAGCCAUUAUGCUGAGGGCACGUCUGCCUGGGCGACACG
rnacentral:rRNA from 1 species